GAGUUUGAUCGUGGCUCAGGACGAACGCUGGCGGCGUGCUUAACACAUGCAAGUCACGGGGGCCCGCAAAGGGCAACCGGCGAACGGGUGCGUAACACGUGAGCAAUCUGCCGAUUUCUGGGGGAUAGCCGGCCCAACGGCCGGGUAAUACCGCAUACGCUCAUUUGGGGGAGUCCCCGAGUGAGGAAACCUCCGGGGGAAAUCGAGGAGCUCGCGGCCUAUCAGCUAGUUGGCGGGGUAACGGCCCACCAAGGCUCUGACGGGUAGCUGGUCUGAGAGGAUGGCCAGCCACAUUGGGACUGAGAGACGGCCCAGACUCCUACGGGAGGCAGCAGUGGGGAAUCUUGCGCAAUGGCCGAAAGGCUGACGCAGCGACGCCGCGUGUGGGAGGAA
rnacentral:rRNA from 1 species